GUUGAAUUUAGUUUUUAAAUAUUUAGUGACUUAAAAAUAGGAAAUAAAAGAUGAUGCUCACGUUUUUAAUUUCAGUUUCACUAACUU
rnacentral:ribozyme from 11 species